AGGAUUUCAGCGACGACGACAUGGACGUGGACGAGCUGGAGAAGAGGAUUUGGAACGAUCGGCUGCGGCUCAAGCGGAUCAAGGACAAGCAAAAGGCCAGGGUCAACAACGCAUUCUCCUCGAAUCACUCGAAUCACAGCCAUGGGCAGCAGCAGCAGCAGCAUCACGGCGGCCCAGCAGCGCAGCACCAGAAUCUGGGCAAUCUCCCCAAGCACAAGCAAUCCCAGGAGCAAUCCCGGCGGAAGAUGUCGCGAGCCCAGGUCGGGAUCCUCAAGUACACGCUCAAGAUGAUGGAGGUCUGCAAAGCCCAAGGAUUCGUCUAUGGCAUCAUCCCCGAGAAGGGCAAGCCAGUGAGCGGCGCCAGCAACAACAUCCGCGCGUGGUGGAAGGAGAAGGUCCGCUUCGAUCGGAACGGCCCCGCCGCCAUGGCCAAGUACGAGGCGGAGCACGGCAUCUGCUCCAGAUCCGGCGGAGGCGCUGGCCAGCUCUCCGCCGCCGCCCCGACGCCACACACUCUCCAGGAGCUCCAGGGCACCACGCAAUGCAGCACUGCGAUCCAGCGGAGGUACCCGCUGGAGAAAGGGGUGGCGCCGCCGUGGUGGCCGAGCGGCGACGAGGAGUGGUGGCCCGAGCUUGGGCUUCCAAAGGGGCAGGGGCCGCCGCCGUAUAAGAAGCCCCAUGAUCUCAAGAAGGUGUGGAAGGUUGGAGUUCUCACUGCGGAUUGUGAUGAAGAUAACCCUUGGGACAUUGGAUUGCCUUGGAUUGAAGUGCUUGCAAGACAAGAUGACUGCCAAGGAGAGCGCGACGUGGAUCUCGGUACCCCUCCACGGUAUUCACAGGGGAAAGAACUUCUGUAUGUGGGUUGAUCGAAUUCGUGCGACGAAGGUUGGGGACGUUACUUGGGUUGUCAAGUUUGAUAAGUGGCAGCGAACGGACGAAGAGCUGAAUUAUCGCUUGACAACCGCCGUGUGUUUCAAUAUGAGGUGGCGUUCUUAUCGCUUUGUCGUCGUCAACAAAACGAUGCGGAUCAAUGUUAAAAACCCACAGACUGAAUCUGGCAAGGAAAAGGAAAAGUAUAAUCCGGCCACUAAGAAGGUGGAGCAUUGCGAAUGGAAGAUAAGCUAAAAUGCAUUUAUUUUCGUUCUCUUUCUUUCUGCGUGGUAUGGCGGACUUCUCUCAGCAUAUCCCGAGCUCCAUAUCCAGUGAUUCAAAACAAAGUUCUCACCCUUAUACCCCUCUUUGAUGAUAGUCGGGCAAUUAUCACACCACUAUUCUUCCAUGUCUUGUGUGUCUCUAGUCGGCCAACCAGAGUAUAAAAUGCGACCACCACCUUCAUUGCAAACUCCCCCCGCUCCCUCUUCCUCUCGCAGAAGGAGAGAAGGCUCCAAGUUUUUGAGUGAGCAAAGGGCUCUCACCUCGAGAACUCGACAAGCUCCCUCGAUUCCAAGCUUGGCUCCUCCUUCGUCCCCUUCUUCUCCUCUUCGUCCCCUUUCAACGUUUGGUCGCGCCUCCGACGAAACAAAACGCUCCAUAAGCGUGAUUUCCAGAAAGAAGCACAGGCGCCAGAAAAGUUUGAAGAAGCAUUCACACCAUUUCCUCCAGGUAAUCCAAGCUUUCAGACAUGGUGAAGUUCCAGAAGCAGCUGGAGGGCCAGCUCGUCCCAGAGUGGCGGGUGAAGUACUGCGACUACAAGCAGCUCAAGAAAGUUGUCAAGAGAAUCAAAAACCAGAUCCUACAUACCAAGAACCAGCAGCACAAGGUGUUCGAUCCAAAUGUCUUCUCGGUUGACAAGAGCAAGCUUCAAAACUUGCUGCAAAAUCCCAGCGCCAUCCUGAGCAGCUGCUGCGAACAAUCCAUAUCCUCGGAAACGUCCAUGGAUGUUCUGGACUGUAAAGACGAAACAAAACUCUUCAA